GGACAAGGAGACCAUCAGAGCCCAUUACCCUUGCAUAUCUGAUCGAGAACAAAGAACUGAAAUAGGAUAGUGCCAGCUUUGCUGUUGUUAUGGGGCAAAGACUUUACUAACUUUGUUGCAAACUUUAUUCCCAGGCUUCUUCAGCCUAGUUGGCUGUAAAGAAUAAAUUUUAUAAAUGAAAGGUGAAAAGAAGUGCAAUGUCCAAGGGGCAGGAGUGAUAAGAGAUAAAUGAAGAAAUGGUUAGAAAGUUGAGUUGGGAGAACUUGCAGUCGACUGGCUGUGGAGACAUGCGCAAGGCUACUGACUUGGUGAGAAAGGUGGGUAUAAGCCUUUGGGAAUCACCAUCACUCCCAUCAGAGCUAGAAACACGUCUUGGAGCACCCGCCCCAUUGAUGGUAAGUUGGUAUCAUCCUCUGCGUUGCACAAAGCAAAUGACUGUCAUCAAAAUCAUCAACAUGGAUGGUGCUUAUCCCUCGCUCACUAUGUACAGGGAACUGUGUUAUGCGCCUAACAUCUCCUUUAGUCUUCACAACCCUGUGAGGUAGGUAAUGUUAAUAUUCCCAUUUCAUAGGUGAGUUAACUAAGUCUUUGAGAGAGUAAAUAACCAUUCAAGCUCUCUCCAGUAAUAAGUAUUGAACCAAGGGUUGAAGGUAGGUUUGUGUGGUCAGCGUCCUUGCACUAAAGCAUCAUGACGUAUCUGAGGAACUGAAAGACUGCUUUGCAGAGAUAAUAGCAAUAGUUUUAUAAAGAUACUAACAUCUAAAUCAUUUGCUCCACCUCAAAAAUAGCUCUGAGACAUCACAGCACUGCAAUGAAAUGUUUAACCACCAAGUAAACAGCUUCAGACCAGCAGAUGAAAUAAUUUGAUUGUCCAGUUAACUUUCAGGGAAACUGGCCAGGUCUGCCUGUGGUCCACUCUGGCCAUACGAGCUGGCCUUUCUGUUCACAAGUUCUGCACCUGUUUGGUAUGCUAAGUCACUUCAGUCGUGUUCGACUCUGUGUGACCCCAUAGACGGCAGCCCACCAGGCUCCCCUGUCCCUGGGAUUCUCCAGGCAAGAACACUGGAGUGGGUUGCCAUUUCCUUCUCCAGUGCAGGAAAGUGAAAAGUGAAAGUGAAGUUGCUCAGUCAUGUCUGACCCUCAGCGACCCAAUGGACUGCAGCCCCCCAGGCUCCUCUGUCCAUGGAAUUUUCCAGGCAAGAGUACUGGAGUGGGGUGCCAUUCUGCUUUCAAACCCUUCCUUUCCUUGUGCCAG
rnacentral:lncRNA from 1 species